UACAGAGGUCCCGAGCGUUGUUCGGAUUCAUUGGGCGUAAAGGGUGCGUAGGCGGUCUUCUAAGUUUGAUGUGAAAUCCCGGGGCUCAACCCUGGAAUUGCAUUGAAUACUGGAGGGCUAGAGUACCGGAGAGGAAACUGGAAUUUACGGUGUAGCAGCGAAAUGCGUAGAGAUCGUAAGGAAGACCAGUGGCGAAGGCGAGUUUCUGGACGGUAACUGACGCUGAGGCACGAAGGCCAGGGGAGCAAACGGG
rnacentral:rRNA from 1 species